rnacentral:snRNA from 16 species
GAUGGCGGGGACUGAAGGGGGCGGACUGCCCAAGCGCUGCCUGGAUUCGCGGCAGAAGGAGCUGGACACAUGGAUGACGUACAGUAGCGAACAGCUGCGCUACGCCUGCUGGUUGUGGGAGAGUCGAUGGGUUUCUGGGCUCCAGGAGCACCGAGCGGACACAGCAGAGCGGCAGAAGGAGGCACAACAACGGGAGGCGGGAAAAGACUGCCC